GGGUCGGUAGGUUGGUCAUGCCUCAGGUAUGCACUGGUCUCACUGAUUCCUCCUUCCUGAUGAGCCGUAAUGCCAUUAAUUUGGUGUUGCGAGGAAUCUGGACUGUUACUUUGAAAAAUUAGAGUGUUUAAAGCAAGCUAACGCUUGAAUACAUUAGCAUGGAAUAAUGGAAUAGGACGUUCGAUCCUAUUUUGUUGGUUUCUAGGAUUGACGUAAUGAU
rnacentral:rRNA from 1 species